GAUGAACGCUGGCGGCGUGCUUAACACAUGCAAGUCGAGCGGGCAAUUUAUCUAGCACUGAUUACUUCAAAUGGAAAUCAUAAGUGUAAUCAUGAAUUUCUACCUUUAAUAAAGAAAAAGAAAUUCAUGUACGCAAAUAGUGAUAACACAUUUUAGUGGAGUGAUGAGUGCUGGAUAAAUUGCUAGCGGCGGACGGGUGAGUAACGCGUGGGCAACCUGCCCUGUACAGAGGGAUAACAACGGGAAACCGUUGCUAAUACCUCAUAAUACCUUUCGGGGGCAUCCCCUUUAGGUCAAAGAAUUUCGGUACAGGAUGGGCCCGCGUCUGAUUAGCUAGUUGGUGAGGUAAUGGCUCACCAAGGCGACGAUCAGUAGCCGACCUGAGAGGGUGAACGGCCACACUGGAACUGAGACACGGUCCAGACUCCUACGGGAGGCAGCAGUGGGGAAUAUUGCACAAUGGGCGAAAGCCUGAUGCAGCGACGCCGCGUG
rnacentral:rRNA from 1 species